AGAGUUUGAUUCUGGCUCAGGAUGAACGCUGGCGGUCUGCUUAACACAUGCAAGUCGAACGGAGUACUUUCGGGUACUUAGUGGCGGACGGGUGAGUAACGCGUGAGAAUCUGCCCAUAGGAUAGGGACAACAGUUGGAAACGACUGCUAAUACCUGAUGUGCCGAGAGGUGAAACUUAUAUGGCCUGUGGAUGAGCUCGCGUCUGAUUAGCUAGUUGGUGGGGUAAAGGCUCACCAAGGCGACGAUCAGUAGCUGGUCUGAGAGGAUGAUCAGCCACACUGGAACUGAGACACGGUCCAGACUCCUACGGGAGGCAGCAGUGGGGAAUUUUCCGCAAUGGGCGAAAGCCUGACGGAGCAAGACCGCGUGGGGGAUGAAGGUUUGUGGAUUGUAAACCCCUUUUGAUUGGGAAGAAUAACUGACGGUACCAAUCGAAUAAGCCUCGGCUAACUCCGUGCCAGCAUCCGCGGUAAUACGGAGGAGGCAAGCGUUAUCCGGAAUUAUUGGGCGUAAAGCGUCCGUAGGUGGUUUAGUAAGUCUGCUGUUAAAGCGCGGGGCUUAACUCCGUAUCGGCAGUGGAAACUACUAGACUAGAGUGUGGUAGGGGUAGAGGGAAUUCCCAGUGUAGCGGUGAAAUGCGUAGAUAUUGGGAAGAACACCGGUGGCGAAGGCGCUCUACUGGGCCAUAACUGACACUGAUGGACGAAAGCUAGGGGAGCGAAAGGGAUUAGAUACCCCUGUAGUCCUAGCCGUAAACGAUGGAAACUAGGUGUUGGCCGUAUCGACCCGGUCAGUGCCGUAGCUAACGCGUUAAGUUUCCCGCCUGGGGAGUACGCUCGCAAGAGUGAAACUCAAAGGAAUUGACGG
rnacentral:rRNA from 1 species